UACGUAGGUGGCAAGCGUUAUCCGGAAUUACUGGGCGUAAAGCGCACGCAGGCGGUCUUUUAAGUUUGACGUGAAGGCUCCCGGCUUAACUGGGAGAGGUCGUUGAAUACUGGAAGACUUGAGGCAAUGAGAGGGGUGUAGAAUUCCCGGUGUAGUGGUGGAAUGCGUAGAUAUCGGGGGGAAUACCAGUGGCGAAAGCGGCACCCUAGCGUUAGCCUGACGCUCAUGUGCGAAAGCGUGGGGAGCGAACGGG
rnacentral:rRNA from 1 species